rfam:Salmo salar isolate Sally breed double haploid chromosome ssa09, whole genome shotgun sequence.
GCUCAGUUGGUAGAGCAUGGUGUUUGCAAUGCCAGGGUUGUGGGUUCGAUUCCCAC